rnacentral:lncRNA from 1 species
GCUGAUGUAGGCUGUGCCAAGCUCUUAAGAUCCUAAUCUCAGAGUCAGGUCCUAGGAAAUCAUAAAGAGUUUGCUCCAGGUGCUCUGUGAAUGGGGCCAAAGUCCAUGCCCAGCUCCUUCCUGGGACGGGGACAUCUUCCCUAGGGCACAGCAUCCUAAGAAAAUAGCCUCCGUGGAAACCCAAGAAUCACAUCUCCCAGGCCCCGGGUGGGAACAGAGUCAGCAAGACUGGUCUCAUUAGAAACUAAGCCAGGCGUGGCUGGUGGAAUAAAAAGGAGGCUUUUUUCCCCCCCUAAACAAAUAGCUUUGUAAUUAAAAAAAAAAAAGGUUGUCAAAGCAGACUGCACACAGUUAAAAAAAUAUUCAAAUAAUCCAAGACAAACAGAAGAGGGAAACCAGGAAGUAGAACUCUUGGCAAUUGUUGGAUUCUUGUGGGAAAGGUCUGGCUGGGUUCUCUCAGCAACAGGUGGGAAGUCAGGAGCCACAGAGAGGCUGGCCUCCCCGGGUGGGGUGCGGGCUGCUGAGUCUCACCCCCCUCUGCCUGGUGGCUCCGAGACGGCAGAAGGAAGGGAGGAGUCGCCCUGUGAGGGGCUCUGAGGCUCAGCUUCAGUGACAGGGCCUCCUCUGGUCUCAACUCUGAGGCCCUGAGUCCCUCUGGGUAGUGGCUCCCAGCAGCACACCAGAGCAGAGAAGCCCCUGUCCUGGAAGGGGGGCCGUGAGCCUGCCUGGGCUGGGAGGCCCCGGGACACAGAUCCCCAGCAGCCCCAGU